GACUCACGCGGGAAUCUUACCGGGUCCGGACACACUGAGGAUUGACAGGUUCCGAGAGAUUUUUGCAUUUGCAGAUUCUCUCUUAAAUAUGCUAGUCCUUUCAUGAUUAUGUGAUAGGUGGUGCAUGGCCGUUCUUAGUUCGUGGAGUGAUCUGUCUGCUUAAUUGCGUUUCACUAAAGGCGUCAUAUCAUUUUUGUGCUUGUGUUUGACCCCUCUUUUCGGAGAGCGCGUGUCUUCACACACAAUUACCUUGGCGUCUGAAAGCAACGAACGUGACCGUAACCUCUUGUUGCCUUCUUUUCUUUAUUGAAUGCUGUUUCAUUCUCUUUUGGGAGUGCUCAGUAUAUGGAGGCUUUUUUUACCAACAACUAGAGGGACCGCUGUUACUUUCUUUAAACCAGAGGAAGGUUGCGGCAAUAAC
rnacentral:rRNA from 1 species